rnacentral:rRNA from 1 species
GAUGAACGCUGGCGGCGUGCCUAAUACAUGCAAGUCGAGCGAACAGACGAGGAGCUUGCUCCUCUGACGUUAGCGGCGGACGGGUGAGUAACACGUGGAUAACCUACCUAUAAGACUGGGAUAACUUCGGGAAACCGGAGCUAAUACCGGAUAAUAUAUUGAACCGCAUGGUUCAAUAGUGAAAGACGGUUUUGCUGUCACUUAUAGAUGGAUCCGCGCCGCAUUAACUAGUUGGUAAGGUAACGGCUUACCAAGGCAACGAUGCGUAGCCGACCUGAGAGGGUGAUCGGCCACACUGGAACUGAGACACGGUCCAGACUCCUACGGGAGGCAGCAGUAGGGAAUGGUCCGCGAUGGGCGAAAGCCUGACGGAGCAGCGCAGCGUGAGUGAUGAAGGUCUUCGGAUCGGAAAACUGUGUUAUUAGGGAAGAACAAAUGUGUAAGUAACUAUGCACGUCUUGACGGUACCUAAUCAGAAAGCAACGGCUAACUACGUG